UACGUAGGGGGCAAGCGUUGUCCGGAUUUAUUGGGCGUAAAGAGCGUGUAGGCGGCCUGACAGGUCUGCUGUGAAAACUCGAGGCUCAACCUCGAGAUGUCGGCGGAAACCGUCUGGCUAGAGUCCGGAAGAGGAGAGUGGAAUUCCUGGUGUAGCGGUGAAAUGCGCAGAUAUCAGGAGGAACACCUAUUGCGAAGGCAGCUCGCUGGGACGUUACUGACGCUGAGACGCGAAAGCGUGGGGAGCAAACAGG
rnacentral:rRNA from 1 species